GCCGGGGUAGCUUAGUAGGUUAAGCGUUUGACUUCAGCUCAGGUCCUGAUCUCGCAGUUCGUGAGUUCAAGCCCCGCACUGGGCU
rnacentral:tRNA from 1 species